AAAAAACAUUUCUGGUCUUCGGCCUUUCCCGAACAUCGCGAGAUCUGGCUGCGGAGAAGCGAGACUCCCGUCCGGGGCCUUUCGCGCAUGCGCUUGGCCUUUAGCGCGCAAAAAUUUCAAACAUCUUCUGCCGGGUUUUAAGAGGCAGCCAAGUUUGGUGUUCAGGAAACGUGCGUCACGUUGACCCGAUGGAUUCAAGUGCACAGCCCCACAGCCUUCGAGAUUUUGCAGUCAAAACUCCACAUACUUGAAUGUCUUCCUUUCUUUCCGUUUUUAUACUGGCUCUGGACGCUGAGAGGUUUCAGCGAAUCAAGUGAACAAACAGGAGUGGGACAGCCGGUCACGGUUUUAAAAAUGAGUGAUGAAGUUUUCGUUGUUUGAAAAGAUGACUCUGGGAGCGACACAAAAAGAGAUAAACGUGAGGAGCCAAAGAAUUUUUUUUUUCCCUUCAGCAGACCAAGAGAGAGGACUGUGAACGUGAACUAAGGACCCAUGGGACAGCUGCACAAGCAUUGGAUUUUGCUCUGCAGCAUCUUCGAGGAAGCCUGCUGUAAGCCAAGGGGAAGACAGAAGACAGCUAUGAAUAUGUUCCCAAGCUUUCCUGGUGGUUUAUGGCAUUCUCCAAACUCCUAUGUAAGGACUGCACCUCAGCAAGAAGACCCAAGGAGACCAUCCAUGAGAUUAAGUCCAGAUGAAGCAGUCAUCUCCUGAAGCCUUUCAUCCUGCCAACUCUGCUGGGCACAGCAGGGACAUGUAGAGAGUUCCAAUCUUCUGGUUCACUGUGCUGGCGCUGUGGCAUAGGAGAUAAAGCUGCUGCCUGCAGUGCCAGUAUCCCAUGUGGGCAUCAGUUCAAGUCCUGGCUACUCCACUUCUGAUCCAGCUCUCUGCUAUGGCCUGGAAAAUCACUGGAAGAUGGCUCUAGUCCUUGGGCCGCUGAACCCGCUUGGGAGACCUAGAGGAAGCUCCUGGCUCCUGGCUUUGGAUUGGUGCAGCUCCAGCCGUUGUGGCCAUCUUGGGAGUGAACCAUCGGAUGGAAGACCUCUCUUUACUUUUGCCUCUCUGUAUCUCUGCCUUUCAAAUAAAUAAAUCUUUAAAAAAAAAAAAAAAAGAUGAGUUUAAAAAAAAUAUUCUGGUUCACUCUCCAAAUGCACACAACAGCUGGGAACUAGAAAUACAGCUUAUGUCCCCCAUGUGGGUGGCAGGGACCCACAUCAUUUGAGCCAUCCCCUGCUGCCUCUGGAGGUAUGGUUUAGCUGGAAGCUAGAAUUAGCAUAGCAUAGCAUAGCAGUGGACCUGGAACUCGAUCCCAAGUACUCCAGUGUAAGAUGUGGAUGUCCCAAGAGCAUCUUAAUUACCAUUCCAAAUACCCACCCUCCACCAUAUUUUCAGUGAUACCUGAUUAUAUAAUUGCAUAAUUUGUCUAAGAAGAACACAUGUUAGUACAAAAUCAGAUCUAACUUCUGCUUUAUCCUUUGGGACCUAAACUACUGAACUUGGAUACCAAAGACUUCCAGUACUGGGUCCUGCAGUCCUAGACAACUUCAGAGUAUACUCUCAGGAUGAGCUCUCUGAUAAGUCAAAGUGCUGGGUGACCAACUAAGUGAAUGUAUGUUGCUCAUUCCAUAUAACAAGGUCUACCUUUCAGUUUCAAUUCAUGGAAUUGUAACAAGCUCAGAAAUCUUGGCUGACUCAUACAUAUUGCAGACAUGGAAACAUUCAGAAAGACUUAUUUAGGGUCCUUAUGUGGAUAUAAAAAUAAGACCAGAAUCUUGACUUGGUCAGUGUUUAUAUUGAGAAUUGAAAUCUAGGUUUCUUAGCCCAAGUCUAGCAUAUAAGGUGAAGUUGAAAGCACUGUAUUCUUUUUUUUUUUUUUUUAAGCUUUAUUUAUUUGAAAGGCAGAGUUACACAGAAAGAGAAGGAGAGGCAGAGAGAGAGAGAGGUCUUCCAUCCACUGGUUCACUCCCCAAUUGGCUGCAACAGCUGGAGCAGUGCCAGUCCGAAGCCAGGAGCCAAGAGCUUCCUCCAGGUCUCCCAUGAGGGUGCAGUGGCCCAAGGACUUGGGCCAUCUUCUACCACUUCUACCAGGCCAUUCCAGAGAGCUGGAUUGGAAGUGGAGCAGCCAGGACUUGAACUGGCGCCCAUAUGGGAUGCCAGCACUUUAUCCACUACACUGCAGUGCUGGUGUAUUUAUUAAACCUUCAGGGCUUCUAAUACUAUCCUAGAUGCUGGUGGGAGAGUGGUAGAAUGGCGGUUACGAAUUUUAGUCCUCACAGUCAACUGUAUAAAAAGUGCUGUAUUGAAUUCGUUUUUGUUUUCUGCUGUAAUGAAUUAAACACACAUCUAGUGGCUUAAGAUAACACUGAUCUCACAGUUCUGUAGGCAGAAGUCUGGGUGGGCUUGGCUGGAUUCUCUGCUGAAUGUGUCACAGUACUGAAAUCAAGAUGUUGACAGUAUUGUGACCCUUUUUAGAGGCUCUGGGGAUGAUUUCCCCUUCCAAGCACAUUUGGGUUGUUGGCAGAACCCCUGCCUUGUGGUUUUAAGACAGUCCUAUUUCCUUGAUGAUGAUUAGUUGGGGGCCACCCAUUACUCUUGGAGGCCUCUCCCCUCUCCUCAUACACAGGCUGCAACAUCUCAGAGCCAGCAUAGCUUGUCAACUCCUCCUUGUGCUUGGACCCUCAGACUUCUUUUGCUGCACCCCUCUGCCACUAGCUAGACAAAGUCCUCUGCAUUUAGAGUUCAUAUGAUGAAAUUGGGCCCACCUGGAUAAUGCAGGAUCAUCUUCCCAUUUUUAGGUUCAUAACCUUAAUUAUAUAUGCAGAGUCCCUUUUGCUAUGUAAUAUAUCAGAUUCAUAGGUCCAGGGAUUUGAGUGUGGAUCUCUUGAGGGGGGCCAUUCUACCCACUACUCAGAAUUCUUCCUUUAAAUAAGAGCAAGUGCCCUACCCAGCUCAUGGUACAAUCAGUGGCAAACAUUCCUGGGACUCCCUUCCUCUUCCUUGGUCCUGGGAUUCUUCACACAGAACAAAACAUACCGGGCAGUCUCUUGGAUCCCUUCUGGUUAUAGUAGAGAAGUAACUGUGAUCUGAGCUGGGGCGAGUCCUUGUAAGCUGGUGGAUCUGCAGCUAUAAGACUUCUCUUGGGAGGUUUCUCAGCUGGGAAACUGCGGAGGAUCAGCCUCUGAGCUGCUGUGCUUUCCUUCUCCAUUACCUCCUGUCACUAACCUGGAGCACAGCAAGUAAGUGAGGCCAGAGUCCCAGGCCUCCUUUUUUUACUGUUUUAAAUUGAGGUGUUAUUUAUAUGCCAUAAAAUUCACUCACUUUAAGUGUACCCUUCCAGUGAUUUUGUGAAGUAUACAGGAUCACAUCACCAACACCAUCAUCAAAUUCCAGAACAUUUUCAUCAUCCCCAGAAGAUUCUUGGUGUUUGUCCAGGCUUCCCUUUCGCAUGGGGCCAAGGGCACACUCACGUUCCUGGUUUAGAGGUCCUUUUUUCACCCUCUUCCUUUCUAGGAAGCCCCUCAGAGAACUCAGCUUCCAGAAAACAAGAGCCAAGAAAACAGGUUUGUCUCAGGCUCAGUGAGGCAACUCUCCUCUAAGGCAAGGCAGCACUUAGGUCUUGGUUUAUUCUCAGAAUGGAACAGGAAAAAACCCCGUAAGGAGUAGAGCACCUGUCAAUACCAUGGUGAGCUCUCCAGCCUCUGCAGGAGGAAGUGGAGUUCUCACAUUGCAUCUGGUUUCACCCCUAACUCCAUCAAGCAGGGACCUGUAGGUGAGAGAAUCAGACUUUUCUCCUUUCCCUUGUGGCCAACUUCCUCUAAGCAGAAACUAAGGUAUCCUUUCCUCCCACUAAAAUGGCCUAAGGGGACAUAAUAUGGCAUGGGGAGGAGGGAGGGGGUACUAGCUGUGGUGCAGAAUGAGAGUCCCUACUAUCCCUACCUACCCUUAAUUCUCUCUCCCCUGCUUCCCAUGUGAUAUUAGGUUCUUUUUUAAAAAUUUUAUUUAUUUAUUGGAGAGGCAGAGUUGCUGACAGAAAGAAAUAUAGGCCAGCGCCACGGCUCAGUAGGCUAAUCCUCCACCUUGCAGCGCCGGCACACCGGGUUCUAGUCCUGGUCGGGGCACCGGAUUCUGUCCCGGUUGCCCCUCUUCCAGGCCAGCUCUCUGCUGUGGCCCGGGAGUACAGUGGAGGAUGGCCCAAGUGCUUGAGCCCUGCACCCGCAUGGGAGACCAGGAGAAGCACCUGGCUCCUGGCUUCAGAUCAGCGUGGAGCGCCGGCUGCAGCACACCUGCCGUGGCGGCCAUUGGAGGGUGAACCAACGGCAAAGGAAGACCUUUCUCUCUGUCUCUCUCUCUCAUUGUCCACUCUGCCUGUCAAAAAAAUAAAAAAUAAAAAAUAAAAGAUUAAAGAUUAUUUAUUUGCAAGAGUUACAGAGAGAGGAGACAGAGAAAGAUCUUCCAUCCACUGGUUCACUCCCCAAAUGGCAACAAUGGCUAGAGCUGGGCCAAUUCAAAACCAGGAGCUUCUUCCAGGUCUCCUAUGUGGGUACAGGGGCCCAAGUCCUUGGACCAUCUUCCAUUACUUCCCCUAGCCAUUAGCAGGGAGCUGGAUCAGAUGUGGAGCAGCCGGGACUUGAACCAGCACCCAUAUGGGAUGCCGGCACUGCAGGCAGUGGCUUUACUCACUGUGCCACAAUGUCAGUCCCUGGGGUCCUAGAAUUUAGUCCUGGUCUCCCACAUGGUUGGCAGGAAUCCAUGUACUUACACUAUCAUCUGCUGCCUCCCGGGUACAUUAAUAGGAAACUGAUUCAGAAGCAGAGGUGGGGCACUCAUGUGGAUGCAGGCUUGACCUGUGGCACCACAGGCCAAGACUCGUUUACAUUUUAGUGGGGAUCUUAAAUUUCAAAGAGUAACACUGUGGUUUUGAGGAAAGUUGGAGGGAUAGGAGCCUUCCUGGCUACCUGAAAUCAUGCCAAGGAUGCUGGCCCUGUUUAUUUCUGAUAUUUUAAAUAUUUUUGAUAUUUAUUUGUAUAAAUGAAGGUCAAAGCAGUAAAGAUGAUAGAAGAACAAGUUACUUCUUAAAUCUGUAUACCUAGAAUUUCUCACUGACUAAUUUCUCAUAGGCUAUUUUGUGAAGUUAUAAGAGGCUAUUUUGAAAACCCUUUUCUGUUAAAAAAAAAAUCAUGAUCUGAUUGGUAGCAUAACCAAGCAAAAAGAAAAUGCAAGAAAGUACUGAAUCCCAGUUGAGAAACAGAUCAAAAAGCCCAGAGAUGGAAAUCCUAUGGAGGAAGAUUUACUCAUACUUUAUAAGAGAGGGGGAAAGGGAAUAGAACAUUAGGGAAGAUUCCAGACCUGUGUGCCUGUGACACCAGAAGUCUUAGUUGGAAGGAAGCUGUAAGGUUCCUUUGCAAUUAUUCAAAAUUAUCUAAUGGAAAUAAUUUAAGCAGAAUGGAUUCUGUAUGUUUUUUUUUUAAAUAACAUUUUUUAUUAUCUUGAUUAGGUUUUAAGUUGCUGUGUCUUUGGAGACUUUUAAAAAGAAAACCAAAUUAGGGACUCAUCAGUGUCCGCUGGUUGCUUUUUAUAAAAGUUGUAGGAUGCUGACAGGUCAUAUCAAAGCUCUGUAAUUACAUCUAUACUGAUUUUCCAUUUUUCAGCUUUCUUUCUAACAUGUUCUGUAGCUGAGGUUUUGUUUAAGGAGUAUAUUGCUAUUCUUGCCCUUUCCAAAGCAGUCUUCAGAAAAGCCAUAUCUGUCCUUUAUUGGUUUUGGUGCCAAAGGGAGGAUUCAUAAUUGCUAUAUAAAAUGACUUAGAUAUUUUUUUAGAUAAUGUGCACAUAUCACAUAUCACAUUGAACUGCAUCAACAUUUGUUAAUUCAAGCUUUUUCAUUUCAUUUCCAAUGCAUUGUCAUUUAUGUUAAAUCCAACACAAAGUCCUGCUCCUAAAAAAGCAGUUCUCAUGCUAAGUACACUCUACAACCACUUCCUCCAUCUGUAGCCACUUUGUUUUCAGUGUCAUCAAAUGUGUUAUGGACUGCACAGAGCAUACAUGCUGCAAUGUGUGCCUAGUUGAAUACUGUAGUAGCUUGGGGCUUUUAACUCCAUCCACUUAUUGAAGGCAAGUUUCUAGUUCCUUAAGCCUUCAUUUUUUCAAUUUUUUUUUUUAAAGCCCUGUGCUUGCAGGGUUUAACAGCUCAGAUUUAUGGAGAAAUCUAUUUAACCAGGUUCUUGUUUCUCCCUGCCCCCAACCUACCACAGCCUCUUUUUCAACACUGCUGGCCAGGGGAUGCCAGGCACUCAGGCUAGCUCCUGCCUGCCUCCGGGUUAUCCCAUGCUGCUUUUCAGCUCCUGGAGAUGGUGGUGGCACAUGCUUGGAGCUUAGAGUCUAUAUGCUUUUGAAGAAAAUAUAUUCAAUCCAGUUAUAUUGCAGAUUUUGGUAGAAAAGGUAGAAAAAGCUUGAUCUGGCUAACAUGCCAUUAUAAAAUCUUCUCCAACUUUUUUUUUUUUUUUUUAGAAUUAUUUAUUUUAUUUGAAAGCCAGAGUUACAUAGAGAGAGAAGGAGAGGCAGAGAGAGCGAGAGGUCUUCCAUCCGCUGGUUCAUUCCCCAAUGGGCCACAACAGCCUAAACUGUGCUGAUCCAAAGCUUGGAGCUUCUUCCGGGUCUCCCAUGCGGGUGCAAGGGCCUAAGGACUUGGGCCACCUUCUACUGCUUUCCUAGGCCAUAGCAGAGAGCUGCAUCGGAAGUGGAGCAGCCAGGACUCGAACUGGCGCCCAUACGGGAUGCCGGCACUGCAGGUGGCAGCUUUACCCGCUACGCCACAGUGCCGGCUCCUAAAUCUCCAGUUUGGAGAAAGUUGUGUUCAUUUAUUUGGGCCUCAAUAAUUUUUCCCUUAAAAGUGUUGUUUAAGUGAUGAUUAGGUAUCUAGGCCCCUUCAUAAAAGCUAUUUACCCUUAACAAACCUAAAUCAUGUGACUGAUGUUAGUAUGGUUAUACUAAUAUUUUAAAAAUUUUUAUUUAUUUGUUUGAAGUGUAGAAAGACAGACACAGACAGUUCCCAUGCACUGAUUGACUCCCCAAAUGCCCACAGCAGCCAGGGAGGCUGGACCAAAACCAGGAGUUGAGGAACUCAAUCCAAAUCUUCCACCUGGGCGGCAAGAACUCAACUGUUUGAACCAUCACCUGCUGCCUCUUAGAUUUUUACACUAGCAGGAAGCUAGAAGUAGAAGUGGAUCUAGAAUUUGAGCUCAAGCACGCCAAUGUGGGAUGUAGGUACCCUAGCUUCGUUUUAACCACUAGACCAAAUACCUACACCUGGUUACUAAAAUUUGUCUGUCAUAUGAUUUUAAAAACUAUUGAGCGAACAGUAGUAAGAAUGGUAAUUUUUGAAGCACUUGCUGUAUGCCAGACACAGAGGAAGGAUUUCAUAGGAGUAUAAACUACACAAAAAUACAAGUCACUAUUUUCCUUGUACCAAGCAGAUUUAAAUGUCUUAACUCAUUAACUCCUAUAUAUGUUCUCUCAUUCAAUUCUCAUGAUCGGAUGAAAUAGGAACUAAUUAUGCUUACCUUACUGAUAAAAGAACUGAAGUACAAGAGGGCUAGGUAACUUGCUCAAGGUCACACAGGUUAGUGAGUGACAAAAAUAGGAUUUGUACUUCAGGUAUCUGAUUUCAAAGCCUGUGUUCCCACACUUUGCAAUAUGCUUGUACUGUGAGAUGGAAAAUAUAUGUAUUUUUUUCAGUAGAUUAUGUUCCAGUAUAGAUUUGCCAGAUGUAGCAAAUAAAAAUACUGGACAUCAAUUAAGUAUUAAUAGGAUAUUACAUGUGACAUACAAGCAGAAUUCAAAAAGUCCCUGGAAAAAUAGAAUAAAAAGAUAGUCUAUUUGGAUACAGAAAUUUUUAAAUCCAUUCAUAUUUCCAUGGACUUUUUGAGGGUGCUCAUGCUUAUGGUAAAAAUAUAUUUAUCUGAAAUUCACAUGUAAAUGGGCAUCCUAUAUUUUAUCUGGCUGGCACAUUAGGAGAGCAUGUCUUAUACUCUCCAAUUUUCUUCCUUCCUUCCUUUCUUCGUUCCUUCCUUCCUUCCUUCCUUCUUUAUUUAUUUAUUUAUUUAUUUGAAAGGCAGAGUUGCAGAGAGGCAGAGAGACUGAGAUCUUCCAUCUGCUGGUUCACUCCCCAGAUGGCCACAACAACCAGCGCUGUGCUGAUCCAAAGCCAGGAGCCAGGAGCUUCCUCCAGGUCCCCAACACGGGUGCAGGGGCCCAAGGACUUGGGCCAUCUUCCACUGCUUUCCCAGGCCAUGCAGAGAGCUGGGCCGGAAGUGGAGCCAGGACUCGAACUGGCGCCCAUAUGGGAUGCUGGCACUGCAGGCAGCAGCUUUACUGGCUACGCCACAGCACUGGCCCCUCUGGUUUUCUUGUUUCCCCACUGGAAUCAUGCUGAUGGAUGCCUGGGUCACCUUAAAUUGUUCUAAAAGGCACUUAGUUACGUCUUCCCAGCACAACAGCCACAAAGCAAGAUAGCAAGUCAGGAAGCCUCAAAAGAGCCUGGGUGGCCUCCUGAGCCAUCCAAGGUCAAGGAUGUAAAUUCAGGACCUUGGAAUAAGUUGCCCCAUAAACCCUGCUCUACUGGAAGUGGUGUGAUGGUAAAUGUUUAACACCUGUUCUGCAGAGAGGACAAACCCUGAUUUGUGGUGCUUGUUGAUUUGUGUGGUGUGAAUAUUCCUAUCAUAGUUGAUCACGAUACCAGCAUGGUGUCAUUGAACCUGUAGAUGGGAACUGGUAUGUAUAACUCCUUCCAUGGAAGGUAGCCACUGUUAGAGGCAUUUCUUUUUUCAUAUACAGGUAAAUUAAGCCUACAUAACAGUGAAAGGUUUAAGAGAAAUAUCUACCACCAUGGUAUUUUCUGAUAUAAAACAGUUAGGUGGUAGGCAUUUGGCACAGCCAUUAAGAUGCCCUUGAUAGCCCUACAUCCCAUAUAGGAGGGUUUGAAUUCUGGCACCACUUUCAAUUUUGACUUCUAACUAAUGUGUACCCUGGGAGGCAGCAGAUGAUGGCUCAAGUGCUAAGGUCCCUGAAUCUCAUCUGGAAGACCUGGAUUGAGUUCCUAGCUUCUUCUGGCUUUGGCCUAGGCCAGCCCUAGCUGUUGAAAGCUCAUGGGCAGUGAACCAGCAGAUCGAAGAUCCUUCGACUCUCUGUCUGUCUGUCUCUCUCUCUCUCUCUCUAUAUAUAUAUACACACACACACGCAUAUAAAAAUCAAACAUACAAGUAAAAAUGAAAAUAAGUAAAAAUGUAAAAUAAAACAAUUAAAAUUUUAAAAGAUAAUUUCCUCCUUGGGGUAAAACAUUGACCAAACUUUUUCCUCACUUCAGUUCACACUGCUUCUAUUCUGCAUUUAAAAGGCAACAGUUAAUCAUCAGUCAUCAUGAAUGUCUAACACUCACAUUCUUUGUUCUGAAGAAAGGCUCUGCCUCCUGACCAGCAAGUCUGCUGCACUUCUCAUGCUGAGCCUCCAUGCAGAACAUGGUGGGAGUGAUUGUGUUGUUUUUUAAAUGCUCACUGUGUCACAUAUUUGUGAGCUGGCAUAUUGAACAGAUGUGUCUGUGGGAAGGCAGGAACCUCUAGGGAGUAACUGUGUCUUCCUGUGUUUAGAGGAGUCAAAAGGACCUGCCCAGAAAGAGCCAGUCUGACCCUCUGAAUCCAGAGCAGACCCUCUGUGGCCUCCCUGGGGAAUGAAGCCCUGAGUAUAAUCAGGAGCAAGAAGUGGGCAAUCUUCAGAUGACCCCUGGAGAAGGACUUCAGUUUUUCUCAGUUGUAAAACAGAGCCAAUAAUACCUAAUUGGAAGGGUUAUACAUAUAAAAUGCCUGAUAUACAUUGAGCACAAAAUAAGGACUACCUCUUGUACUACUGAUUCUAUAGCCACUGUCUUUGUUGUGAUUAUUCUUAUUACUCAUUUGCAAAUGGCCUUAUGUAUCUGCUUAGCUCCAACAGAUAAUUUCCAUUCUUCAGAAGAUGUUUCUGUUGUUUUUUAACAAGAUCAUAUAAAAAUUCUUUGACAUUAAGUUUUUAAACAAAUCUCAGAAAUAAAAAUGGCCUUCCUAUAUACUGAGAAUAUCAGUCUUUAUAAUUUUGGGAGGGAAAGCAAAUUGGUGUUUAGAAUUUUUUUUUAAAGAUUUUAUUUAUUUAUUUGAAAGGCAGAAUUACAGAGGGAGAGACAGAGAGAAAAGUCUUGUGGCUGCUGGUUCACUCUCCAAAUGGCCACAGCAGCUGGAGCUGAGCUGAUCUGAAGCAAGGAGCCAGGAGCUUCAUUUGGGUCUCCCACGGGGGUGCAGGGGCCCAAGUACUUGGACUGUCUUCCACUGCUUUCCCAGGCCAUAGCAGAGAACUGGAUCAGAAGAGGAGCAACCAGGACAUGAACCUGCGCCCAUCUGGGAUGCCGGCACUGCAGGCGAGGCUUAGCCCACUACGCCAUAGCGCUAGCCCCUUGUGUUUUUAUUUUGUUUGUUUGUUUUUACAGAUUUUAUUUAUUUGAAAGGCAGAGUUACAGAAAGAAAGGGGGUUAGGAAGAAAGAUAGAGAUCUUCCACCCACUGGUUCACUCCCCAAAUGGCUACAAUGGCUGGGGCUGUGCCAGACGGAAACCAGGAACAACUUCUUGUUCUCUCACAUGGGUGCAGAGGCCCAAGGACUUGGGCCAUCCUCUGCUGCUUUCCCAGGCAUUAUAGUAGGGUGCCAGAUUGGAAGUAGAGCAGCUGAGACUUGAACCUGUGCCGGUAUGGGAUGCUGGCAUUGCAGGUGGCAGCUUAACCCAUUACAACAGUGCCGGCCCCAGGUAGAGUUUUUUUGAGUUUAGAAGAAACCAGGUACUUUGCUUGCCUGGGACUGGACCUGGUAGGACUGAGGAACACAAAGUUCAGCUAUGUCCCCCAUUUGUCCUUUUUUCUUUUUAAUGUUUAUUUAUAUAUUUAUUUAUUUGAAAGGUGACAUUACAAAAAGGGAGAGGCAGAGGCAGAGAGAGAGAAGUCUUCCAUCCACUGGUUCAUUCCCUAAAUGGCUACAGUAGCCAGGCUGGGCCGACAGAAGCCAGGAGCCAGGAACUUCAUCCAAGUCUCCUACAUGGGUGCAGGGGCCCAAGGCCUUAGGCCAUCUUCUGCUGCUUUCCCGGGCAUAUUAGGAGGGAGCUGGAUUGGAAGUGGAGCAGCCCAUAUGGGAUGCUGGGACUGCAGGCAGCAACUUAAUCUGCACUGGCCCUCUUGUUCGUCUUGGUGCUUCUCUUUCCCUCUCAUUGGUUUCCAGUCAUUUGUUAUCCAAGAAUGAUUUUUUAGAAAGCUUAAAUCAAGACACAUACAAAUACAGAAUGAAUACGUGUCAAGGAUUGAUUAAUUUAUAUUUGGAAGCAAUUAAUUUAUUUUGGAGAAAUCAGUAUGUAUAGGCAUUUUUUUUAACUUUUAUUUAAUGAAUAUAGAUUUCCAAAGUACAGCUUAUGGAUUACAUUGGCUCCCCCACCCCCAUGACUUCCCUCCCACCCGCAACCCUCCCCUUUCCCGCUCUCUCUCCCCCUCCAUUCAUAUCAAGAUUCAUUUUCAAUUUUCUAUAUAUACAGAAGAUCAGUUUAGCAUACAUUAAGUAAAGGUUUCAACAGUUUGCACCCACAUAGAAACACAAAGUGAAAAAUACUGUUUGAGUACUCGUUAUAGCAUUAAGUCUCAAUGUACAGCACAUUAAGGACAGAGAUCCUACAUGAGGAGUAAGUGCACAGUGACUCCUGUUGUUGACUUAACAAAUUGACACUCCUGUUUAUGGCAUCAGUAAUCUCCCUAUGCUCCAGUCAUGAGUUUCCAAGGCUAUGGAAGCCUUUUGAGUUCACCGACUCUUAUCUUAUUUAGACAAGGUCAUAGUCAAAGUGGAAGUUCUCUCCUCCCUUCAGAGAAAGGUACCUCCUUCUUUGAAGACCUGUUCUUUCCACUGGGAUCUCACUCACAGAGAUCUUUCAUUUAGGUCCUUUUUUUUUUUUUUUUUUUUUUUUGCCAGAGUGUCUUGGCUUUCCUUGUGUAUAGGCAUUUUGAAAUAAGAGUGUCAGUAUAAGAUUGCUAGGGAGACACAGAACGGGUUAAUGUACCACAGAGCACUAAGUCCCAUAACAUUAAUUUUCCUGCUAGACAGAAAUUUACAAGUUAACAUGUAACUUCACAGUAUCUUGGCGCUUGUCAAAUAGUAAAUAGCAAAAUGAAGCAUAAAUACAUUUUCCCAGAGAUUUAAAUAAUCCUUGGAGAGGCCCAUUCAUGACUAUCCCAGGGGAGUGGACAUUUAGCCUAGUUGUUAACAUGCCUGCAUCCCACAUUGGAGUUUCCUGAGUACAACUGCUGGAUCAAGUUUCUGACUCCAGCUUCUUGUUAAUAUGCACUGGGAGGCAGCAGUGAUGGCUCAAGCAAUUGGACUCCUGCCAUCCACAUGGGAGACUUGGAUUUUGCUCCUGACUCCUAGUUCUGGUCCCAGAUCAGCCCUGGCAUGCGUUUGGGGAGUGAAACAGCAGAUGAGAGCUCUUCCUGUCUCUUUGCUGCUCAGUUUUUAAAAUCAAGAUAGGAUAUGUCUCCUUGUUCUUAAAAAAUUACUGUAUUAUAUUUAUUUGAAAGGCAGAGAAAUAGAGGAGAGGAAGAGACAGAUCUAGAGAUCUUUCAUCCACUGGUUCACUCCCCAAAUGCUCCCAGCAGCCAGGAUCUCCCAUGUGGUUGUCAGUGACCUAAGUACUUGAGCUAUCAUCUGCUGCCUCCCAGGAUGUACAUUAGCAGUGAGCUGGUAUCAGAAGACCUGGGACUGAAACUCAGUGACACCAAUAUGAGAUGUGGUUGAAGUUCUAGCUGCUCCACUUCCAAUUCAGCUCCCUGUCAAUGUGCCUAGGCAAGCAGCAACAGAUGACCAAGUACUUGAGGCCCAGGGGGAGAGAGAGAGAGAGAGAGAGAGAGAGAGAGAUCUUCCAUCUGCUGGUUCACUCUCCAGUUGCCCACAGUAGCAAGGUUUGGGCAAGACCAAAGCAGGAACCAGGACUCCAUCCAGUUCUCCCACUUGGGUGGCAGGGGCCCACAUACUUGGGCUAUCUUCCACUGCCUUUGCAGACACAGCAACAGGAAGCUGGAUUGGAAGCUGAAUAGCCGGGAGUCAAACUGGUACUCCAACUCGGCAUGCUAGCAUCACAACUGGUGUUUUAACCCACUGCACCACAAUACUAGUCCUGAUAAGUACAUAAUUUAAUAGAUGAAUUAUUACUUUUUUAGAUAAUAUAUAGAAAGAGACAAAGGCCUCUAAUAACUUAACCCAAUGGAAUAUUUCAAAAUUGACGGGGAAGAGAAAGAUUAAAAAAAUGAUGAAAAAAAAUUUUUUCCCUUUUUUUUUUUUUUUUGACAGGCAGAGUUAGUGAGAGAGACAGAGAGAAAGAUCUUCCUUCCAUUGGUUCACCCCCCAAAUGGCCGCUAUGGCCGGCGCACUGUGCCGAUCUGAAGCCAGGAGCCAGGUGCUUCCAAGCACUUGGGCCAUCCUCCACUACCUUCCUGGGCCACAGCAGAGAGCUGGACUGGAAGAGGAGCAACCAAGACAGAACCGGCGCCCCAACUGGGACUAGAACCCAGAGUACUGGCGCCACAGGCGGAGGAUUAGCCUAGUGAGCCGUGGCGCUGGCCGAAAAAUUUUUUAAAAGAUAUUUUAUUUAUUUGAAAGAGUUACAGAGAGAGGUAGAGAUAGAGAGGUGUUCCAUCUGCUGGUUCACUCUCCAAAUGGCUGCAACAGCUGUGGCUGAACCGAUCCAAAGUCAGGAGCCAGGAGCUUCUUCCAGGUCUCCCACAUGGGUGCGGGGGCCCAAACACUUGGGCCAUCUUCUGCUUUCCCAGGCCAUAGCAGAGAGCUGGAUCCAGUGCCACAGCACUGGCCCCUGAAAUCUUUCUUACCAUUCCAAAAAUGACCACAUAUGGAUGACUCUGAACAUAAUUACUAAUUAAUUGGCCCCAUGUUUCAGAAAUAAGCCUUUGAAGAUAUUUAUUUCCAAAUUAAUGGAGCAGGGGAGACCUUUGUGAAAUCUUACUUUUAGGCCCUUGAAUUUAAUUACAGUAUGGCAGGUUUGAGGGCACCUUAAUGACCUUCACUCACCCUUAGAUGAGACUUGUAUUUCAUGUAAUUGUUGACCUGGGUGACUUCAGUUUCAUCUGUGCUGCUCUUAUCAGGAGUCAUAUUUUAUCCUGUCACCAUGAUCACAAAUGUUUUAGCUCCCUGAGAGUACACAUUGACUUUCUACAUCUUCAUUUGAUUCUCCUAGCAGAGGUACAUAGAGUAAUUUAUUUCAGCUCUCUGUCUUUAUGGAUCUGAUUCACUAUAUAUUUAAUAAGCAGUUAUUAAUGUAAAGAACUUGAGCAGAAGCCAUGGAGCAUGGAGAAAAGCACAAUGCCUUCCCUGCAGGAGCCCUUGGUGGAGUAGGGAACACAGAAAUGUGGAUGCUUUCUGAAGCAGUGAUUCUUAAUCUUGGCUGCACAUUAGGUUCGCCUGGGGAACUGAAACAUCCCAAUGACUGGGCUGCACUCCAGCCCAAUUAAAUUAGAAUCCCAGCGGGUAGGACCCAGGCAUCAGUAUUUUAAAAGCUCCCUGUGAAAGUGCAAUAUAUUGCUAAGCUAGAGCAAAACAAACUUGGAAAAUGGUGUAGUAACAGACUGACAAAAGUGCCGUAUGAACAAAAGUACCAUCCCACCAUUCUGGGUGUGCUAAUAUUCUCUGUCCAACCACAUCUCCACUCAUGAAUGUGCAAGAUACACAACACGUGAUAACCAUAGGAAACCUUUUGGUCAGUUAUAUUGGAAGGCAUUUAGAAAGUGUAUAUUAUUGCUUUUUAUUUAUUUGGAAGGUAGAGAGAGAGGGAAAGGUCUUCCAUCUGCAAGAUCCCUAAAUGCCUGUAGCAACCAGGGCUAGGCCAGGCUGAAGCCAGAAGCCUGUAAGCUCAGUCCGGGUCUUCCACAUGCGUUCAGGAACCCAACUACUCGAGCCAUCAUCUGCUGCUUCCCAGGAUGUGCAUUAGCGGAAAGCUGGAAGCGGAAGAGGAGCUGGGACUGAGACCCAGUGACUCCGAUAUAGGAUGUGAGCAUCCCAAGUGGUGACUUCACUGCUCUGCCAAAUACUUGUCCGAUUAACUAUUCUGGGAAGUAUGGCCUGAGGGAAACCUUGUCUCUAAGGGGAAAAGGUCCCAAAAACAUCAGUCCAAGAGGAUGACCCCCAGAUUCAUUCCACAUGCUUGUUCUCUUCCCUGGAAUUGUUUGCUCGUGUCUUUCUGAAGUCAAAAAGUUGGCCUCUAAGCACCCAGCCCUAACCUUACCUUUAUUGUGAAAUCUUCUCUCUCUCUCCACCUAUUCCAGGCAAAAUUGGGUUACUCUUUUUCUCUGCUACUUAGCUGCUUGUAUGUAUGUAUGUAUAUAUGUAUGUGUGUAUGUGUGUGUGUGUGUUUAGUAGUUAAUUACAAUUAUUGCCUAAUUUAGUCAGAGUAUGGCAGACUGCAUAGUUUAUAGAUCUUACCCAUUUACAUUUCCCAGGUCCCCAGCACAGUUUCUUGGUUUAUUAAAUGAAUAGAGCUGCAGCAGUUUUAGGUGGAGUGAGAGAAGUUGUACCACCAGCAGGGGGAACCUAGUCUCAUGAACUUGGGCUCUGUUCUGUCUCCGAACACCAGGAUCCUCUGCUUCUAAGAAGUCAGAGACACACUCACUGGUGUAGCAAUGAGCUAUGAAAGGAAGAGAGAAACAAAAAAGACAUUCACAGGAUUUAAAGUAUAGGUAUUGACCAAGCACAAGUGCCUGUGCCACCAACUGCUAUUUUAUUUAGGCCAUAGGCCUUACCCAAAAAUGUUUAGAAUAGCUUCCUCCCUGGGAAAAUUGCCUGUCUGGGAGCAGGUAUUUGGCACAGUAGUUAUCAUAUCGUGUCAUACCAUAUUAGAGUGCCUGGUUUGAGUCUCAGCUUUGCCCCAAUUCCAGCUUCCUGCUUAUGUGCACCCUGGGGGAGGCAGUGAUGAUGGCUCAGGUACUUGGGUCCCAGUCACCCAUGUAGGAAACCUGAAUUGUAUUCCUGGCUCUUGGCUUUGACCUGGCCCAGCUCCAGCUAUUGGGGGUGAUUAGAGGGUAAACCAGCAUUUGUUGAUCUCUCUCUGCCUUUCAAAUAAUCUUUCUUUCUUCCUUUUUUUUUUUUUUUUUUUUUUUUUUCCAGGCAGAGUUAGACGGUGAGAGAGAGACAGGAGAGAGUUAUAGACAGUGAGAGAGAGAGAGAGAGAGAGAGAGAGAGAGAGAAAGGUCUUCCUUCCGUUGGUUCACUCCCCUAAUGGCCGCCACAGCCGGCGCUGCACUGAUCCGAAGCCAGGAGCCGGGUACUUCCUCCCGGUCUCCCAUGCAAGUGCAGGGACCCAAGUAAUUGGACCAUCCUCUGCUGCCCUCCUGGGCCACAGCAGAGAGCUGGACCAGAAGAGGAGCAACCGGGACUAAUACCCGGCGCCCCAACUGGGACUAGAACCCCGGGUGCCAGCGCCACAGGCGGAGGAUUAACCAAGUGAGCCAUGGCACCGGCCUCAAAUAAAUUUUUAAAAAGAAAGAAAAUUACUUGUAUUUUUUAUUUUUAAAAUUUUAAAUCUUAGUUUUUAAAAAAAUUUGUACACAAAUAAAUGGUGAAACAUCUAUUUCAAUUUUAUAAGUAUGAGGGUCAUGAAGUAUAGAGUUUUCUAGGACAGUGAUAAUUUUAGAUCUUAUGUCCUGUUUUCAGACUAUGUAUCCUGAUUUUUUUAAAUGGAAAGUUUGGUUGCUGUUGUUACAGUUGGCUAUUAUUUGGCCAGCAUGCUUCAGGGCCUUUUAGUAAUUCAAAUAUCUAAUUAUCUUACAGUUCUCUUUGAGAGCUUAAGUAGGGCUGCUUCAUGAUUUUUGGUGUUUUUUUUUUUAGAAGUUAAAUAGGGCUGCUUUGUAUUUGUUUGUUUGUUUUUCAGUGCCUAAAGAUAUUAGGCUGUUCAGUACAUUGCCUUGAGUGCCCUACGUUUGUUGAAGGUGGUUUAUUGAUGAAGACAAUAUAUAGUAACAAUCCUCUUCCUACCAUACAUUAGUGUAAAUACCCUUAAAGGAAAAAAUGGAUCAUUAAGAAUUGUUCUGUACUGAGAACUGUUCUUUAAUCUUGCCU